rnacentral:misc_RNA from 1 species
AAGAGUUAGGGUCCUCUGGGCCCGACCUCCCAACCCUUUGUUUACUGAACCUCUGUUGCUUCGGCGGACCCGCCUCACGGCCGCCGGAGGAUCGCCCCCAGGCGUCCUCUGGCCAGCGCCCGCCGACAGCCACUCUCAAAACUCUUGAAUAAAUCAUGUCAUUGUCUAAGUUAUGAUGCAAAUCAAUAAGCA